CAGUAGCCGCGGGAAUACAGAGGGUGCAAGCGUUAUCCGGAAUGAUUGGGCGUAAAGCGUCUGUAGGUGGCUUUUCAAGUCAGUCGUCAAAUCCCUGGGCUCAACCCUGGACAAGCAGUGGAAACUACCAAGCUGGAGUAUAGUAGGGGCAGAGUGAAUUUCCGGUGGAGCGAUGAAAUGCGUUGAGAUCAGAAAGAACACCAACGGCGAAAGCACUCUGCUGGGCCGACACUGACACUGAGAGACGAAAGCUAGGGGAGCAAAUGGGAUUAGAUACCCCCGUAGUCCCUGUCUCUUAUCA
rnacentral:rRNA from 1 species